ACGAGAAGCUUGCUUCUCUGAUGUUAGCGGCGGACGGGUGAGUAACACGUGGAUAACCUACCUAUAAGACUGGGAUAACUUCGGGAAACCGGAGCUAAUACCGGAUAAUAUUUUAAACCGCAUGGUUCAAAAGUGAAAGACGGUCUUGCUGUCACUUAUAGAUGGAUCCGCGCUGCAUUAGCUAGUUGGUAAGGUAACGGCUUACCAAGGCAACGAUGCAUAGCCGACCUGAGAGGGUGAUCGGCCACACUGGAACUGAGACACGGUCCAGACUCCUACGGGAGGCAGCAGUAGGGAAUCUUCCGCAAUGGGCGAAAGCCUGACGGAGCAACGCCGCGUGAGUGAUGAAGGUCUUCGGAUCGUAAAACUCUGUUAUUAGGGAAGAACAUAUGUGUAAGUAACUGUGCACAUCUUGACGGUACCUAAUCAGAAAGCCACGGCUAACUACGUGCCAGCAGCCGCGGUAAUACGUAGGUGGCAAGCGUUAUCCGGAAUUAUUGGGCGUAAAGCGCGCGUAGGCGGUUUUUUAAGUCUGAUGUGAAAGCCCACGGCUCAACCGUGGAGGGUCAUUGGAAACUGGAAAACUUGAGUGCAGAAGAGGAAAGUGGAAUUCCAUGUGUAGCGGUGAAAUGCGCAGAGAUAUGGAGGAACACCAGUGGCGAAGGCGACUUUCUGGUCUGUAACUGACGCUGAUGUGCGAAAGCGUGGGGAUCAAACAGGAUUAGAUACCCUGGUAGUCCACGCCGUAAACGAUGAGUGCUAAGUGUUAGGGGGUUUCCGCCCCUUAGUG
rnacentral:rRNA from 1 species